GACGAACGCUGGCGGCGUGCUUAACACAUGCAAGUCGAGCGGUAAGGCCCUUUCGGGGGUACACGAGCGGCGAACGGGUGAGUAACACGUGGGUGACCUGCCCUCAGCUCUGGGAUAAGCCUGGGAAACCGGGUCUAAUACUGGAUAUGACUCCAUGACGCAUGUUGUGGGGUGGAAAGCCUUGUGCGGCCGAGGAUGGGCCCGCGGCCUAUCAGCUUGUUGGUGGGGUGAUGGCCUACCAAGGCGACGACGGGUAGCCGGCCGUGAGAGGGCGACCGGCCACACUGGGACUGAGACACGGCCCAGACUCCUACGGGAGGCAGCAGUGGGGAAUCUUGCGCAAUGGGCGAAAGCCUGACGCAGCGACGCCGCGUGAGGGAUGACGGCCUGGUCGUAACC
rnacentral:rRNA from 1 species